rnacentral:lncRNA from 1 species
UAUAUUGUCACGCCCCGACCCUCAGGCACGCACACAUCCCUUACUCUUGGUCGAUUUUAAAUUGCGAUAUCCCAGGACUAUGUAUCGCCGACCCUUUCAUUCUUUAUAGCACAUGCGGAAGCAGUUAUAAAUCCCCAGACAAUAAAGCAAUGGGAUAGAAAAGCAGGCCAUAUAUUUUCCUUACUGAAAAUUCACAACUACAUCUUUUUACAAGCAAACAAGGUCUGACAAGACAGGACAGGGUUUCAGUCCUCAUCCGGGUCGUACUCGAUGUCAUACUCGGGGUCCUCCUCCACGUACUCCUCUUUAGGUUCCUCAACAGGGAUCUCCUCAUCAGAUUCAUGCUCCUUAGGCUCCUCAUCCAGGUCCUGAAAUGGUUAUUCAAUAACCACUGAGACCACGUCUCAGCAAGUUCUACCUCCUAAGACCCGAUUAGUAAACUAAUACACCUUAGGGCUGCCUAUGCACAACAUGAGUCAGAGGACUUACCUUGGCCUCAGAUUCCACCUGCAGAUUAGCACAGAUCAAAUAGGCACCCAAGCAAUUACAUCACAGAUCGAAGCAUCGAUCAAAUCGACCGAGUCGAUUACACGCCAACAAGACCACUCACGGUCACUUUCAUUCAAUCGAUCAUUUCACAACAUCAAAUCAAGGCAAUGAAUCACAUCAAAUCACACUCAGAUCGAAUCAUCGAUCAAUCGACUUAGUCGAUUACACGCCAACAAGACCACUCACGGUCAUUCCCAUUCAAUCAACCAAUUCACAACAUCAGAUCAAAACAAUGAUCAAUCGACCUAGUCGAUUACAUGUCAUACCAAUCAUUCUCCACGGAGGAGUAUCUAAAAGCGAGGCCACGUGCAUUCUCAAGGACGACAUUCCAAGUCUCCGAGCCACGUGCCUCAAACCUCGGGCCCACGUGCAUUCUCUAAGGCGACUUCUUCGCCAAGGUGGUACAUCAAGCCACCGAGCCACGUGCCCUUUUUACGAUGCCCGGGCCCACGUGCAUUCUCUAAGGUACUCGCUUACCAAAGUGACGCAUCAGAUCACCGAGCCACGUGCCCUUUCAGAUGCCAUUUCGAAUACUGGACCCACGUGCAUUCUCUAAGGUACUCGCUUACCAAAGUGACGCAUCAGAUCACCGAGCCACGUGUCCUUUUAGAUGCCUGGGCUCACGUGCAUUCUCUAAGGUACUCGCUUACCAAAGUGACGCAUCAGAUCACCGAGCCACGUGCCCUUUUAGAUGCCAAACUCUGUCACCGAGUCACGUGCAUUUUCCAGGUGAUAUUCCAAUUCACCGAGCCCAAGUGUCCUCUUUCAAGUGGUUACCAAUCUUCUUUCAAUACCAACAACCAAUGGCCAACAAUUUCUCAAUCAAAUAAUUAAAUCAACUCAACAAAGCAUUAUAAAUGCUGAAUAACAUACUUGGCCAAUCACCAAUCAAUAAUUCAAUCUCAAUCGAUUCCAAUCAAAUUAGGGUAAAUCCAUAAACCAUCACAAUUUAUUCAAUUCCAUACAACGUAGAGCUCAAAUAAAUAAAUGAACUGCGCCACGACGAUCAGCACGAGAUUUCGGUCGUCGGCCAUCAAAAUCUUAAUUUCCGAAAAAUAAAUAAAUAAUUAAUUUCGAAAAUUAAAUAAUUAAUAUUAAAAAUUCAAUUUAUCUCAAAAUAAAGCCCGAUUAAAUAAACAGACUUCACCACGGUCAUCAGCACAAUAUUCCGGUCCCGGGCCAUCACAGUUGAAAUUUCAGAAAAUAAAUAAUUAUUUAAUUUAAUUCCGAAAAUUAAUAAUUAAAUACUAAAAAAUCCACUUAGGCCCGAAAAGCCUAAUUGGAGCCCACUAAGGGUCGGGAAAAAUCCCCGAGGCACUUCCCAAUAAAUACUACAUGCAAUUCUCUAUCUAAUUACACUAAUCACACAAUUAAUAUGCAAAGCAAUUAACUAAUAAUCGCUAAUCAAUUCUAAUCUAACUACCUAAUUACACUUAAUUAACACUAAUCAACCUUUAAGUAUAAUUAGCAAACUAAGAAGGCAUUAGUGAGUAAAACUCACCCAAAACGACGGGCUCGACGCGAGGAUCGACUUUCCUCAAAGCGGGCUGAGCAUUCGGGCUCGGGAAGGCG